rnacentral:rRNA from 1 species
AUGGCCGAUGGGCCUCAACAGGUUACUGACGUCAGCCAAACUCCGAAUGCCGGUGAGUGAGAGCGCAGCAGUGAGACGGUGGGGGAUAAGCUUCAUCGUCGAGAGGGAAACAACCCAGACUACCAACUAAGGUCCCUAAGCGUGUGCUAAGUGGGAAAGGAUGUGGAGUUGCACAGACAACCAGGAGGUUGGCUUAGAAGCAGCCACCCUU